UACGUAGGGUGCAAGCGUUGUUCGGAAUUACUGGGCGUAAAGGGCGCGUAGGCGGCCUUCUAAGUCGAACGUGAAAUCCCCGGGCUCAACCCGGGAACUGCGUCCGAUACUGGAAGGCUUGAAUCCGGGAGAGGGAUGCGGAAUUCCAGGUGUAGCGGUGAAAUGCGUAGAUAUCUGGAGGAACACCGGUGGCGAAGGCGGCAUCCUGGACCGGCAUUGACGCUGAGGCGCGAAAGCCAGGGGAGCAAACGGG
rnacentral:rRNA from 1 species